GGAUCACAGAGAUCGAGCUCCAGUCAGGUCAGCUCCUAGCACUGCCACAGUGGAACCUGGCACACUGGAACGUGGCACUGCCACAGUGGAACCUGGCACACUGGAACCUGGCACUGCCACAGUGGAACCUGGCACACUGGAACCUGGCACUGCCACAGUGGAACCUGAGACAAGGUCUUUUUUUUAGACACCUGACCUCAAGUGAUUCUCCCAUCUCAGCCUUACAGGCUUCUCGACUCCCUGAGAUACAACAGCAUCGAAAUUAGACCAUUUAAUAACCCUACAAUGGCCUCUAAGUAUUCAAAUGAAGUGAAGAGUGACAUAUCACUCACUUUGUGGUUGCAGGGAGCAGGGUGAUGAAAGGUCUGUCUGGGGCCAGGAAGAAUGGCCCACAUCAAUCUGCAGGAAAGCACAGCCACAGAGAGAAGGACAAGAGGGAUGAGACGACUACUUUAGUAAGAAAGGCUUGGCAAAGGCUAAGGCAGGCUGAAAGCUAGGCCUCCUGUGGCAAAUAGUUAGCCAAGUGGUAAAUGCAGA